GAUCGUAUUCCUCAUUCCUCAAAUCAACCAGUCUUAUUACGCCAUUAUCGAUCGGAGCUUUGUUGUUCGCCGCCUGCUCCAUCAACCGGUAGAUUUUUCUCGAUCGGCUUCAUCCCUACCUCGAUCCUCCCUAAAUCAGAGGUUCCAAUCCACUCUACUUCACUCCAAUCCAAUCCAACCCAACACAAUCUAGAAGAAGCUUUGGGGACAUGAUCCGGCACACCAUGAACUAUUCUUGUAUACACACACUAAGAAUCACGAUGGAGUGACUUUUUUAGUUGACAAAGCUAAAAAAAUUCAUGAUGAUUUUAUGGAACGAUGUGCUCGAUUGGAAGCAAUAGGAGAGGAAAUUGAUGAGGACAAACUAUUUGAUGAUGUUGUCGGGGGACAUGAUUGAAAAAAGCGAUUAUAUGGAUUUGGCUCAUAUCGAAAGCGCAUUCGUUCUAGUAAAGGAUCUUCUGAAAUGCAUCGCGAACAAUACGAGGAUAAUAAUGCCGAGACAAAAGUCGAGAUUGAGAAUUCGAAGAAGUUAGUUGAGACACAAUGCGAACAAUAUGAGGAUAUUCAACAAAAAUAUGAGGAUGUUCAGCAAAAAUAUGAGGAUUCUCAGAAAAAGAAUGUGGAGUUUCAGCAGAAAAAUAUGGAUGUUCAAGCAAAGUUUGAACAACAACUUGCACAAGCAAUGAAUGUCAUUAACACAUUGAGUGAACAGGUCAAAACUUUUAUUAUUCAAUGAUAGAAUAUUAUGUAUGGAAUAAUGUUUUACGUUAAAAUUGUAGCGACUUUUGAUAUUGAAAUAUGUAUCUUUUGAUGUACUGAUAUUUCUUUUAGUUUCUAUAGAAAUACUUUGUUAUUUUUGGUUUUA